rnacentral:lncRNA from 1 species
UAUUAGUUUUGGUAUUUUGUUGUGAUAUUGUUGAUCUCUCUUCACAUUAUGAGUUUUGCUUGUCUCUUUGAUAUCUGUUACAUAGAGGGGUGUAGUCCAUUCUCCUACUUUGACAUAGUUUGGUACAUUAGAAAAGAUUCUAAACACAAAAAUAAUAAUCUUCUGAAAAAUAAGAUAGGAAUGGUGUUUGGUUAUGAAACUUAAACAUAAGUUACAUAAGCAACAGAAAAUUGGUUACUAAGCAACAGAACAUAAGUUACUAAGCAACAGAAUAUAGGUUACGAAGCAACAGAACAUAGGUUACUAAGC